UGCGGGGUCGUCUAAUGGUAGGACACAGGACUUUGGAUCCUGGUAUGAUGGUUCGAAUCCAUCCCCCGCAGCCA
rnacentral:tRNA from 3 species